UUUGAGUGCAGGCACUGGCAUGUGCAUUAUUACUCAGGGAUCUAAGUAGAGAAAGAAAACAACCCCCUGGGGUGCCUUCUAACCUAAAGCAUAUUUUCUAAGUCCAUGCACUCUCAGUCUAGACUGAAAACAAACAAAGCAGACUCCUCUUGAAGCUCUCAGAUCUCUCACCUUGCAAUUCUAGCUUUUGAAUUCCACGCCUAGUUUCCUUUCCCACAUGCCAAGCCCUUGUCCUGUGGAUUACAAUGAUCAUUUGUGUGUACUAGGUGACUAUUCCUUCCACAUCAGGGGCCUUGGAACGAUGAACUAAGGCUGCUCUCUCCCGUCCUUACUUCCUCUAUCCAGUAUUGUAACAACAUGCAAUCUGUUGGUUCUUAUAAAGGAUGCUGACUGAUGCUGUGAUGUGGUCUUCAGGAAGCCAAGGGAUCUCCAAAUGAGGUAAAGAAACUGAGAAUCAGCUCUGAAGAGUGAUUGUCCAAGGGUACUACGGAUAUGCAAAAUGAAUACAAUGUUGGAAGAAGA